rnacentral:rRNA from 1 species
GACGAACGCUGGCGGCGUGCUUAAGACAUGCAAGUCGUACGAGAAAGUCUCUUCGGAGAUGAGUAAAGUGGCGCACGGGUGAGUAACGCGUGGGUAAUCUGCCCUUAGGUUUGGGAUAACCCCGGGAAACCGGAGCUAAUACCGUAUGAGACCACGAUGACUUCGGUCGAUGUGGGAAAAGGUGGCCUCUUCUUGAAAGCUAUCGCCAAAGGAUGAGCCCGCGUUUGAUUAGCUAGUUGGUGAGGUAAUGGCUCACCAAGGCGACGAUCAAUAGCUGGUCUGACGGGAUGAUCAGCCACACUGGAACUAAGAUACGGUCCAGACUCCUACGGGAGGCAGCAGUCAGGAAUAUUGGGCAAUGGGCGAAAGCCUGACCCAGCAACGCCGCGCGAAGGAUGAAGGCCCUCGGGUCGUAAACUUCUGUCGAGAGGGAAGAAUGUGUACGGGUGAACAAUCCGUGCAUUUGACGGUACCUCCAAAGGAAGCACCGGCUAACUCCGUGCCAGCAGCCGCCGUAA